rnacentral:rRNA from 1 species
UACGGGGGGUGCGAGCGUUGUCCGGAUUCACUGGGCGUAAAGGGCGCGUAGGCGGCCGGGUCAGUCGGGCCUGUAAGUGCGGGGCUCAACCCCGUGAUGGGCUCGGGACGGCCCGGCUGGGGCGCGGUCGAGGGAGACGGAAUGCCGGGUGUAGUGGUGAAAUGCGUAGAGAUCCGGCGGAACACCGGUGGUGAAGACGGUCUCCUGGGCCGGACCUGACGCUGAGACGCGAAGGCGUGGGGAGCGAACGGG